GCGAAAACUUUACAAUGCUGGCAACAGCGAUAAGGGAACCUCGAGUGCCAGGUUACAAAUCUGGCUGUCGAGAUGCCUAAAAAGCAUUUCAUAGCAAGGGCCGGGCAAGACCGGUGCCAGCCGCCGCGGUAACACCGGCGGCUCGAGUGGUAACCGUUAUUAUUGGGUCUAAAGGGUCUGUAGCCGGCCGGAUAAGUCUCUUGAGAAAUCUGGCAGCUUAACUGUCAGGCUUUCAGGAGAUACUGUCUGGCUCGAGGCCGGGAGAGGUUAGUGGGACUGCAGGGGUAGGGGUGAAAUCUUGUGAUCCUGGAGGGACGACCAGUGGCGAAGGCGUCUCACCAGAACGGACCUGACGGCAAGGGACGAAAGCUAGGGGCACGAACC
rnacentral:rRNA from 1 species